CUGUGCUUGUGGCCUGGUACCGGUUGUGGCUGCUUAGUUAGUGGUGAGGUAAAGGCACUUUGUGCAUGCUCACUUCCCCAUAUUCCUGGAAGUAAACCUAUAAAUUAAAACCCAGGCAGAACCGCAUCCAGUUUAAAAUCCGAGAGGGUCUGGUUCAGAGAGAAUAGUAGUAGGCAGGCUUGUGCUGCCCAAACACGAAUUGCAUGAGGUAUUUUGGAGGUAUAAAAGUUCACGUUCCUGGAUGAAACUUGGGGGGCCAGAGCAUUUAAGUUGCCACAGUUGUAACAGUGAGCUACUAAAAUUUAAGAGAUGCGAACCGUCGACUUUUAGGAUGAAAAGCAGUAUAUAAAUACUUGAACUAAAAUAAUUACUAUACUGAUUACACUUCCUUGUUAAGUAACAGCGAGGCGUCUGUUGCCUGUACCCCAAGUAUACAUACUACACAGUGUGUUUAUGUGCAAGGGCUGCAUAUAUUAAUCUGCACCAAAGUUGCCCAUUAUUUUCUUUCUGGAAGUGAUUUCCGUGAAGGAAUUUUGGUCUAUGGACAUACACACACGGCAGCUUCUUGCAUAGACAGGUGGCACAGGAAGUGUCCCUAGAAAAGCCUGCAAACUGCACAGUUGAACAAUACCUUUGUUAGGACCAACCAAAAAUAGUGUGCAAGCUUUUGUUAUGUAUUCCCUCACAACUCAGUGUUCAAAGCGGGAUGUCUGCCCUGCUAACUGUGCUGGACCUGGAAUGGUCCUACCUGCUGUAUGAACUAGUGAGAUAUCAGCAUAAACUACCUGGGUCCACUGUGGGGAAUUGGAUGUACUCAAAACAUCUGGUUCUGUAAAUUAGAGCUAUUGUGAUGGACCCUAUAGGAUUUGGAAGAGUGGAUCUCUUAGCCUUAAGAAGGCCAGAGCUGGAGACUCAUCUGCUGUAUGUGGCAUAUCCAUUUCAAAUACCAACACAUGUUCAAGUGACAGCUUGAAGUAAUUAGUGCUGUAAAAUGCUGCAUUAUGUCCUCCUCCCAGAGAAGGGAGCUGGUGGUGUGGAGCAUCUGCACCAGAGGCACUUGAAUGUGCCAGGUUGUCUUGACAACUGUGAGAUGUAGAGGACCAGGCUCUUCCCAACUGUAUAUCUCUGUCCUUAUAAUUUGUACCAUGGGCAAACUUUGGACAGUCACCUAAUACUACUUCCAGAAUUAUUCAGAAAUUUAAGAUGUCACUGUGAUCUUGAGCAGCAAUACCCCUCUUAUUUUGGUAGUUUACCAGGCAGCUUGUUGGCUGUUCCCUUCCUUUGGGAAGCACUGAUAGUCCUUAAGUUCAAAUGGUUUUUUAAGUAUUUCAUUUAUUUGCCUUUACCUAGGCAAAGGUGACCUGGGUCUGGUUGUUUUACUCUUGUUUUCAUUUUGU